AGUUAAUUUGGGCUGUCAAACAAUUCAAUAAUGUAAUUGUGUAAUAUCGCAGGAUUGAGCUGUAAUUUCAUUUUUUUAAUACAAAAAGCAUUGCAAGAAUAUUGACGUCUUGAUUUUGUCCAAAGUAACGAAUGGCAAAAUCAGGAUAAAUAAGGAGACACGGAGCGUUUGCUUCUCUGUUCUUUUCACUGGGCUUCUUCCAACGGUCACUAACGAACAUAUGAAGAGAGGCGUGCACCUGCAGCAGUAACAUUCCGAAUGGAUGGCUCAUCAUUUUUAAUUGAGUUGAAUUAUUACACUCAGGGUGUGGGCUUGACAGAGGGUCAGUGAAGACUGGCAGAAGAGAGAAUAAUCUGUCCAUACAAGAUGGAAAUGGAGAUAAGAGCAAGAUACAUCUUUAGUGAGCCAUGGAGACUUUCAGUGUGUCUCUCACUCUGCAUUUUCAGCAUUGUGUUGUUGUUGAUUUGUGGUAUGAUUUGGCACUAUAUGUUGUCCAUUCAUUUGUUGAAGGAUAGUGUUGUUGAGAAUUAUAAACCCCUUACCUAAAUUCAAGAGUGAAUUUCUGAAUAAAUAUGUGAUCAUUUCAACUGUCUAGCACCUCAACAAGAAGAUCUGACAUCUCAAAUGAGCUUCAGAAACAGCUCAUCAAGGCUACAUUUAUGCAUGCUUUACAAGGCAUCAGGAAAAGUACAUCUCUUUCAUCCCUUGUGAGCAUAGGUUUGAAAUCCACUACAAAGAGAUCAACACUAAGAUUUUUUUUUACGUAUGAAAGGUAAAGGCCUGGAGUUGAAAGGAAACCCGACUUGUUUUUAACUGUCAUACGUUUUUAAGAAAUAAAGCAAGAAUUUCAAUGUAACUAAAGCAUGCAGCACGG